UUUUUUUUUUUUUGGGUGUGAUAUUAGAAUGAAAAUUGAAAAGAACUUACUAUGAAAUAGGUAAGAGAGAAACAAAAUAUGAGAAAAUUAAGGAAGAGUUAGAAAACCUCAAACUCUAAGUAUGUUCGCAAGUGUGUGUAUACUGUGACACUCUCCAAAGUACUUUUUCUCGCUGUAGUGUUUUUGCUUUUCUCUCUCUCUUUUGUUUUGUUAAGUUAAGUGUGUUCUCAAAAGAAGAGAGCGUGAGGGACC
rnacentral:lncRNA from 1 species